UUAAUAUCUAUGAAGAGGAGAGUACUAUAUUUGAUUCUUUAAGCGAGUAAGGGGUGGUGUAAGCCUUAUAAGAUAGAAUAUUAGGAAGAGAGCCUUGGAGAUAGCUACUGAAAUUUUAUUAGUAGGAUAGUUCGUAUUGCUGCGUUAAAGCAUUGAGUGGCAUUUUAUGCAAUCAGAGUGGUACCGCGGGAUUUUUUCCGUCUCUUAU
rnacentral:ncRNA from 1 species